rnacentral:lncRNA from 10 species
UGAUACCAAGACUUUCCAUGAACGUAUGGUAAUUAAGGUAAUGUUGACUGGUAUUAGGAUAGACAUAGAUUUAUGAAACAGAACAGGGGGUCUAGAACUACAACUAUAACUUGAAAUGGAUCAUAGAACUAAAGAACAGCUAAAACUAAAAAUAGUAUUGAAAAAUAUAGUAUGCAAACUUCUGUGGGCAAAUCUUUAUUAAAUAUGAUAAGAAAGCAUAAACUGUAAAGUAAAAAUAAACCUGGACUUCACAAAGAUUAAAAGCUUCUGCUUUUUGAAUGGCACGUAAGUGAAAUAAAAAAGCAAGCGAACGAACCAACAACCAGUCACAGACAGGGAGACAAAGUUUUCAAUACAUAUGUCCUACACCUCACAGUGAACUUUCUUCUGGAACAUAUUAGAAUGAUUACAAUUGCAGUUAGUCGUGUGCAGGAGGGAGUUUACUGCUCCUCAUCCCUGGCCUCUCAUUGAUACCCAGGUAAGGUUCUGGACCCUCACAAUUUGAUAACAAGAGGAUAUAUAGUUCAACUUUAAAAAUAGGCAAAAGAUUUGAACAGGCACCUGACAGCAGAAAAUAUAUAAAUGAGCAAUAAUUCCAUGAAAAGUAAUUCGGCAUCAUCAGCCAUUGAGGAAAUACAAAUUAAAAACUGAAGGAAAUAUUGCCACAUAGUCACUAGAAUGGCUAAAAUUAAAACACUGACAAUAACAGGUGUUGGUGAGGAUGCAGAACCACAAGAACUCUUAUAUUGUAUAUGAGAUUCCAUUUAUAUAAAAGUCAAGGCAAAAUAAAACCAAAUUGAGAGCAAAUAAAUUUUUGGUGUAUGAAAUCUGGGAUGAGAGAGAUUUACUGUAAAGACGCAGUUGGGCAUUUUCUCUUGUAAUGCAAAUAUCUUGUAUCUUCAUUCCAGUUGUUGUUACCUAAUUAUAUACAUUUUGAAAACUAGUCAAACUACCCACUUAACAUGGGUGCAUUUUAUUUUAUAUAAAUUAAACUUUAAGAAAAGUGACUUAAUAAAUAAGACAUUAUAAUUAAAGCGAAAAGCCCCUAAAUGGCAGAAGACAUUUACAAUACACAUAACUGAAGGAAGGGUAAAUAUAUAAAGAACUCCCAUAAAUCUUUUUGAAAAAUCUACAGAAAUGUGGAAAUAUCCGCAAAAGUUUGAACAGGUAAGUUAUGAAAGAGGGCAAUUGAAUAGUACAUUUUUAAAAAAGGUAAAGACAAAUUUAUGAGUUUAGUAUGAAUUUGUGAGUCAGAAAAAUUAAAGUUAAUACAAAGAUAGCAUUACAUAUACCUAAUGUUGGCAAACACUUAUAAUUUGGACUGUACUAUAAGUUGGUGGGAAAAUGCAGCAAUAGGAACUCUCAUAUAUUGUGAAUGGGUAAAAGGUAAAACAUCAUUAGAAAAGUGUUUGGUGUUGCCUUGUAAAUCUAUGUCCCUAGCUAUGUGCUCUAGAAAACCUCGUGAUAUUAUUUCAAAUAUACACCAACAAGUGGGAUAGAUAAAUUGAAGUCCAGUCUUUUAAUGGAAUUAUUACACAACAAUGAAAAUGAACUAAUAACAACCACAUGGAAAAAGGUGGAUAAAUCUCACAAAUAAUACUGAGUGAAAGAUACAGGGCUCAAAAAGUGCAUAUAGUUUGAUUCCAUUCAUGGAGACCUUAGAAAGAAAAUCAACACCUUAUAUUGCUAGUAGAUGCAAACUUUGGUGAUGAAAUGAUAAAGAAAGUCUACAAAAUCCUUUUCAUCAAAUAGGACCUUUUACAUAGAGGAGAGGAGACAUGAAGUGGCAAACAGGUGUGUGAUACCAAAAAUAUUUUGUUCCUUAAUUUAUUAAUAAGAGUGGGUUUUCUAUUAUUAUUCUUUAAUUGUGUGUUCUUCAUGUAUUAUAUAAUUUAGUACAUAAAUCACUAGUAGAAUGUCAGAUCAUGUUAUUCCUUCGCACAAAACCCUCUAGUUUUCUCCAUCUCAUUAGCAACACAGAUUAUGUUGGCUAGUGAUUAUCUUCUAUUUUGAUAAUCUACUUUUAAUUUUUUUAUACUUCUUCAAGUCUGAGAGUGUUCUAUACAUGAUAGCUUUGACUUUUAGUACAAUCUGCCCUUUAUUUCUUUUAAGGUCAGUUUCAAUUCUGCAGUUGUGCUUCAUUUUCCUGUGCUGUAUAAUAAUAAAUAAUUAUUGCCUUUAUUUCCUUGACUUCUUUUGCAACCUUGCAACUGCUCCUUGUUACCUCUUAAUUUUAUCCAAUUUUCUUACACUUUUUUUGCUCAUUUCCCACCUUUACUUAUGUUCUAUUCUGAAUGCAAAUCAAUUUUGUGAAAAUUUUCUUCUGGAUUCUAUACAAUCCUCAACUUGAAUAAUAGUGAUAGAAACGGUAGCAGUAAAGUAACACGGGUACUCACCUUUUCUUAAAAAUGUUUUAUCUUCCAUCACUAUAUUAUACUAAGCCCAUUAUAUCCAUUGUUUCAUUAAUUAUUUAAAACAUCAUUAUAUUAUAUUUAUUAUCCUCACUCUAGUGAUGAAUCAUAUAAAUCUGAGGAAGGUCGAAUACAAAACUUCCAUAGUGGUGGAGGGUUGACUUAUACAUUUAUCUGACUUUGGAAUCUCUGCUCCUAAAUUUUGUUUUAGACUACCAUUAGGCUUAAGUUAUGUUUGAAAUUGGAACUUCUGAAAGUCUAACAAUAGAUUUGCUUGUAACCAAGAGAGCUUCAGUUUAAAAGAAGCUAAAUAUAAAAUCCCUAUGUGUCCUCUUUCUUUCUACUCAUAUAUGGAAUUUUCUUUCUCUCUCUAGAUGAAUACAGUUAGAUUUUGGUCUUGAGCAAGUGUUAAAUAAGAUUAUUUUGCCCUCCUCACUGAAUUACUUAAACCUGAACACUAGAGAUGUCAUAUUCUCCUGGUUAUCUACUUGGUAUAGCCUCUGAGUCAUGGGCUAGAUGGUAGAAGGACUUAGGGGUUCUCAGUUAUUUUCUGACCAGAUCGAUGUUUCAUGAAGCUAAACCACAUUUUGAAGCAUGAAUUGAUUUUUCCUCAACCCUGGUUCAUCUAAUUUACAAUAAAUUCAACAAUUACUAGAUUCUAGUGUAAAUUUGUCAUUCAUGGUAGGGACUUCCUACCAUGAUCCUCACUGGCAUUUUAAUAAAGAAUUUUGGAGACAACAUAUUAGAGACUACUAGGAAGAAGUGAUUUUAAAUCAGAAGUUGAUUCUUUCUCCAAGGCUACGAUUUAGUUUUAUACUGCUUUGCUCUGUAUAGACACCAUUGUGUAUAUUAUUUAUGUGGAUAUGCUGUCUCUCCAACUAGAUCAUCGACAACUUCAGAGUAUGGUUUGAACUCCCAUUUCUCUUGGUUUCAGUGAGUAAACAGUUUCAUAAUUUGCAUGAAGUAAGCAUUCAGUGAUACCUUGGGGGGGAGGAUUCUCUUUUUUCCAUUCUUAAUAUUUCUGAAAUUCCUAUUGAAUUCAUAUUAUUCAAUUUCUAUAAAAUUAAGAAUACAGAAUGAAUUCAAAAAUAUUCUCUAUAGUUCAGGGUUUUAAUGGAAUAGAAGAGAGGAAAAAAUGUCCAGUGAAAAAGCUCUUUGUAAAUUAGAUACAAAACUAGCCAUUUGACAUAAUAGCCAGAAUGCCUGGCCUAAAAUUGUUAUCAUCUAAAAUAUGUUGAAAUAAUAAUUGUCAAGAAAGAAAAUAUUUGGUACUUUAAAAUAUUCAUAUUAUUCAAUAAUAUUCAUGUCUGACUUAUUCAGCUGCAUGCUUGUUGUUUUUUCAAAUCAUGUGUAAUAAUCCAAGUUUGGGAAAUAUGAAAAAAACAUUAUUUUUCCAAUUGACACUGUUUUGGACAUGAUGAAAUGCUACUUAAUGUACUUGUCAAAUGAAUAGAAAGCGCAAAAUUGUGAACUGAUAAUAUCAUAGUCUGUCCUCAUUUCUAAGAUAUUUACUAUUGAUGUUUCAUAGGCAAAAAUCUCAUUAAAGAACUCAUUGUUUUGGAUUGAGUUCAUCUGGAAAAUCACAUACACUGUGACCUAUUUAUAAAAUAAUUUAGCUGCGAGUGAUGAUUGCUGUUUGCCAGUGAUAAUGGAAAGACAGCAUUUCUUUGGUAUUUUGCCAACUUUUAAGUCAUAUUAGAAAAAUUUACAAUAGUCAAUCAUUUCUUUCAAACUAGAAAUAUAGGAGGCUUCAUACAUAAGUAAUAAGAUCAAACUUCUGAAUUUGGAAAUUAAGAACUGUUAUAAAUUAUUAAUAAUUUGUGUGUGAAAAAAGAUGUCUAUGAUAUGUGAGCAGUGCUGAGACAUUUAGAUAACUAAAAUUCAUUCAUAAGUAGGUUACCAUAACCUCAAAAGUAUUUCUACACAUAGUAAAGAGACAAAAAUACUCUAGGAAUUAAGUCUUAAUAUAUCCUGGUAACCUGGUAAGUUUCACAUUCUACAUGAGAAAGAAUGACUCUCACAAGGCUGAUUAGAGGUACUAACCAAAACACUUUUAUGAGACUUAAAACAAGCUAAUUGUGGAUUCUUUUCACAUUCCACAUUUUAAACUUCCAGACUCAGACCAGGCUGGAGCAGAAAAAAUAGAAUUAGGGUGAGAGGAUUACACUUUAGGGAGAAACCUAAGUCUUGUAUUUGUAGUCUCCAUGUCUUUACAUAUUUAUGUGGAAGUCACAUAUGAUUUCAGUAUCUACAUCAAUAAGUAGAAUUUAUUAUUUUCAGAUAUAUUUAGUGUUUAUUGAUAUUACAAAUAGUUAUUAUCUGAGUUAUGUACCCUUUUAUUUAUAUCAGGAAUCAAUUAUUUAACAGAAAGAAAGAAGUCACUUGUUUAAAAAAUGUUCCCUGACUCACAAUAUUCUGUAAUAAUAUGAUGUGUUAUCUGUGGAAGGCUAAACCUUCCCUGGAAGAAGAAGCUGUAAGAAAUAAUCUGCCUAAUGGAGAUCACAACUUCAGUGCCCAAUAGGUGACCAAAUUUCAGUGGCCUUAUAAUGAACCCAUCAUUCCCUCUGCCAUGCUACCUUCUCUCUUCACUAUUAUAGUGAAUUGAUGUCUCCACAGAGUCAGUCAGCAGUCCAGAAUUUUGAGUUAUUCUAGGCACAUAAUUUCACCAAAUCAUGUAAAUUGCACAUUUUCACUUCUUAUGAAUCUGUCCCCUCAUAUCAUCCCUAUAGUAGAGUGUUUGUCCAUGCCCUCAUCAUCUCUUUGGGCUAAUGAAAUGUCCUUCUAAUCAUCCAUCAGUCAUUCUACUACUCUGCCUAAUGGCUCCAUGUCAUCAGCUGACAAAGUAGAACAUCAUAAAACUGGCCAUAAAAGGUCCAUAAGAUCCUACAUAAUUUGGCCCCUGUCUGCUUCUUUCAUCUGAUUUUUUUUCCAGCCUCUAACUUUGAACACUAACUGCAGCCAUUUCAAAUGUCAUAGUUUCCUAAUCACAGCAGUCUGGUUCCUGACUCUUUUCUCUCUCUCUCUCUUUUUUUUUUUUUUUUUUGAGACUGAGUCUUGCUCUGUCACCAGGCUGGAGUACAGUGGCCCGAUCUCGGCUCACUGCAACCUCCACCUCCCGGGUUCAAGCUAUUCUCCUGCCUCAGCCUCCCAAGUAGCUGGGAUUACAGGCACCCACUACCACGCCCAGCUAAUUUUUGUAUUUUUUAGUAGAGACGGGGUUUCACCAUGUUGGCCAGGAUGGUCUCGAUCUCUUGACCUCGUGAUCUGCACACCUCGGACUCCCAAAGUGCCUCUGUUCAUGUUGUUCUUUGCCGAAAGUUAUCUCUACUCCCCACCUUCCUUCACAAUGCCCGUCUCUGGCUGGGAGACACAUACAGUCAACAUUUGUCAACAUUCAGCUCAAAUGGAUAAAACUGACCAUUCUUUCUUAUGCAUCUUGUGUACAUACAGUCUUUCCUCAGCAGCUGUAGCACUUUACUGCAUAUGCCUUUCUAGUUGUCUAUUUUUCCAGGUUGAAAUGAAAGCCUUUCAAGUGUAGAUCCUCUGUUUUAUUCAUUUUUGUCAUCUUCAAAAUUUGCAAAGUUUUAGAAAAAUAGUAGAUGCGUUAAAAACGCUUACUGAAUUGAUGGAUAAAGUAACAAAAGUCAAUACCUGGGUUUUCAAUAGGUAUUUCAGGUGGAAGUCAUAUUUUCUGAUGAGUGUUAAGAGACAUUGUCUGGAAAAUAAAAAAUAGAAACUUUGUUUAAAAUUGGGUGGGAAAACUUAUAUUACCUUUAGCACAAACAUUUAUCACAAAUUGUUUUGCCCAUGAUACUAUCGUAGGCAUGGUAUAAAAAGGAUUAUUGUUGACAUAAUUUUAAAAACAUCUCAGAAGGGUGCCUUAUAAAGUUUGUAUAACUUGAUAGACUACAAACAUAUCUGAAAGUCUUAGAACUCCAAAGAAUUCAUGAUAAAUUAACCAAACCUCUCAAAGGCUGAUCAUUAUAUAAAACUACUCUUAAUUCAAACCGUAAGUUGCAAAGGGAUUCAUAAGCAGAUAAUGGCAUAUAUUAACAUCAAGAAAUAUUAAGUAUGGCAUAUCUUGUAGAGAAUUGCAUUUGGAAUUAAUGGCUUAUAUUUAUAAUAGAUGGGGUUGUCUCUGACACCAAACCUCUGCAUUUUUCUUUCCUAAGCUUCUCUUACUGCUCCA